rnacentral:rRNA from 1 species
AUUGAACGCUGGCGGCAUGCUUUACACAUGCAAGUCGAACGAGUGGCGAACGGGUGAGUAAUAUAUCGGAACGUACCGAGUAAUGGGGGAUAACCAAUCGAAAGAUUGGCUAAUACCGCAUAUUAUUCGAGCGGCGGAUAAGCGAGUAGCUAGUUGGGGGGGUAAAGGCCUACCAAGGCGAUGACCAGUAGCGGGUCUGAGAGGACGAUCCGCAAGACUGGGACUGAGACACGGCCCAGACUCCUACGGGAGGCAGCAGUGGGGAAUUUUGGACAAUGGGGGCAACCCUGAUCCAGCCAUGCCGCGUGUGUGAAGAAGGUCUUCGGAUUGUAAAGUACUUUAGUUUGGGAAGCGGUACCUACAGAAUAAGCACCGGCUAACUUCGUGCCAGCAGCCGCGGUAAUGC